rnacentral:lncRNA from 12 species
CCUUGUAGUAUUUUAACUUGAAAUUUAUUGAAGUAUUUUGGUGAAAAAAAAAUACAUGCUUACAUUUCUAUUUUGGACAGGGUCAUCUGUCAGGAUAUCGGGGGAUGGGAUAGAUGGAGAAGAAUCUACAUAUCAUUUGCAACAAACCAGCCAUGAGUUUUGCUUGAUGAUGAAAGGAUAGAAGGUGUUGCACUGGAACAAAAAGCUCCGCUAUCCAACUAAAUCGAUGUGAAAAUGUGGCAGGUUGAAAGAAGACUACAUCAAAAAAUAUUUUAAAUUCUGUAAUACAAAUAUCUGGGAACAAAAGAUGUUUGAGCAGGCGAAGAAUGCCUCUACUUUUAAGGCUGGGUUAAAACGUUUUCCCAUUUCUUUCAACAGUUGAUGCUAGCUUCUGAAGAGACUUUAGCAGGAAUGAGGACACCAAGGAAAGUGUUAAAUUCAAAAAUAAGGGUAUACAAUCAAAAAGCUCAUAAACCGAUGCUUUUGAAUAAUGCUUUCAGAAAGAACAUCUAUAAUUUGGAGAUUAAAUGUUGUGCUUUGAAAAAGACCUGUAUGAACCUUCCAUAAGAGAGCACUUCCAAAAUAUAUUUGUCAACAUGUGAAAGCUGGAACCGAGCACUGAUUAAUCAAUCAUAUACAACAGAUUAGUUAUUGAUGAAGAGGUAAGGAGGCCAAAAGACUAAUUUGAUCUAGACUCAGCUUGCUCACAUAUAACCCCAUCCUGGAUAUAUGGGUCUGGAUAACACUUAUUCUUCAGAUCCCACUUCAAGCACAAAUUUCUUGAGGAAGCCUUUCUUGAUUCCUCGUUGAAGAACAGGUUCCUCUGCUACAUGUGUCUAGCCUCUCUUCUUAACUUUCUGGGCUUUUAACAGAGCAAUAUAAUGAGGGUUAAGCAAGUUGUUAUAUAUAUAUAUAUAGUUGUUGUUGGCUUCCUUCACUUUGUCCCACUGUUCUCUUGGAGCUCACAAGUGAGCUGAUGGACUUCAAGGAUGUCAGCAGAGGAUAGUAAAGAGAACACCAAGCUGGGGCUUGAGUGGGGACGUGGCUAGAGCUCAGGGGAUACCAGGACUGGUGGGAGAAUAUAAGAAUAAAGGUGAUGGUUGAUUCCCA